UAUUUUUUUGCAGCUUUUGUGAACUUCAUUUGGACCUGAUCUGUGAGCAGACCCUAGCUCUAUCAUAUGAUUUGCAACACCAUUCUGUUCAAUUUUAAAUUGUCUCAGUGGUUGAGAGUGCCUGAAUAUAUUUUAACUAGAUAGACGUAAACAGCUUGCUCAGGAUGACCUCCAGAUGUCCUUUCCCUUGCAGUCCUGACCCAGUUCCAUGGGUGAACAGCAUAAACUCUGCAGUCUGUUACCAUCGGAUGCAGCAGUGAAGUGGCAUUCCCCCUUCCCGUGGCUGAUGCCUGUCAUGCUUCAUCAGGGCUGACAAGCAAUUAUUACUCUUUGUUUCUUUUAAACUAUAUAUUGGCAAAACAAUCAUUGCAAGGAGUUGUAGAGGUAGAAACCAUUAUCUUUGCACUAUAGUGGUAACAGAGCUUUUAGGCUUACUGAAAAUAUCCAUUAGCUUUUGUUUUCUUAUCUACAAAUGCUUUCUGUUUUGCCCUCUGCUAUUCCAGCAGUUGAAUCACCAACUUUUGUUGCAUUAAGAAUGGAAUACUCUAUUCUUUAAUUUGGUGAUUUUAAUUUUCUGCUGGCUUUUGUUCAGGACAGGAGGCAUUCUUCAUUAGUUUUGAGUCCCACUAUAGUAAAUAUAAUUUGAAUAUCAGUUUUAGCCUCAUUGACUUCGAAGAUUUAGUUUUUCUCUUAGCAGUUGUGACAUGAUAUGACGUUCCUGUGCAAGUUUACAAACAAAAAGGAAAAAACAACCUCUAGAAAAUAAGACAAAAUAGACUGAGCCAAUUUUAGUUUCUGAACUGGAAGGAAACUUUUUGAACUUUACUCUCUUUGGUCAUCAUUUCUGUAUGACUCACAUAAAUAAUUGUUUUCAAGUACUCUUAAUAGCAUUCAAGAACUUAAGCAGGAUGCAGUCAUGGAGAACAAAGGGUUUUUUUAGGUCUCUGAGCUACCUGCACAGCACAGUUAUGGUGUCCCUCCUGAAUUAGAAGUUUGACACAAACUAUCAAAGGUUUCAUCUCCAGCAGGAAUUGUCUUUGGUCGAAGACACGCAGUAGCAGGAAUACAAAUUUCCAGUGCAGAGAAAAGAAACAGUCUCUCAGAUCCAUAGACUUUACUUCUCAGCUCUCCAGAGAGGUCCAGUGCUGGUCCUGGCUAUGAAUUUUCAUUUUCUCAAAAACCCAAAUGAUAGUGGAACCUCUUACACCAUUCCCACAAAUUCCCUCUACCUACUUGUUCUUGUCUCUUAAAUGGCCCUCAAGUUUCCCCCUGCUGCCAUGCAAAGGUCAUCUGGUAGUUUGUUUUUCAAGUCUCUUUCAGGCUGUCAUCUUUUGGAAAACAUUGGGUAACCUUAACUGGAAGGAUCUCCUUCAAUCUCUCCCUGUGAUGAAUUAUCAUAACUAAUGAAGAUGGAAAAAAGGGAAAGCUAAGUACACAUUUCCUGAUUUUAAAGCACCCACUCUGUACUACAGUAUUGUAAGAGUUACAUCUUGGUCACUGUGCUUAAUGUUCAAUCCAAAUUUUAAUCAAAUUCCUUAGGUGUUACUUGGGAUGAGGUUUUCUUCUUGAAUUUGCUAAAGCUGCCAGAACUAUUCAACCCAUAUAAAACCGAAAAAUUGCUUUUCCACACCUCAUUUUUGACAUGGUGUAUGAAUGGUUUAUAUAAAAGUAGUUAUGGUCACCCAUUGUUACAGUUUUAAAGGGUUUAUUUUCUCUUAUCUCAACUUCUGUUUCUUUUCUCCUGAUACAGAAGAAAGGUUUUAUAAUCCUAUUAACUUUUGUACUGGCAUUUGACAUCUUUGUCUUUGACAUUGUAAAUGGGCGUGAAGAGGAUCUGCCCAAUAUAUAGCUCAAGUUUAUCCCCAAAUCUAAAAGAUAAGCCGUGCUAUUUUUUAUUUUUGUUUUUCGUUUUUCCUUUUUCUAGUGGGUUUCUACCAUCAUGUUGUUGACAGUAAAGGAAAGAGGAGACUUAGACACCUUCUGUCACAUACAGAGAUGUGAACAGCUGCAGGAAGAAUGGAUUAGCUUGUCAGUGCUUUCUAAAUAUGAAUGAUUCUGUCCCACCAUUCCAAUCCUUCUCUGUUUGAGCACUGUCUGCUCCCCAUUCCUCUUCCCAAGAUACUUUUGUAUCCAUGUUCAAUCCCAUUCUCAGCCUGACUCAACUAUAAUUUCUCUGUUGCAUGUUUUAGUAAUAAGCUAUUUUAUUUCUUCUGACUUGGGACAGAACAUCUCUACUUCAGAAAUACCUACUAUAUUUAGAUCUCUUUCAGCUGCUGUUUUCUUCUCCUUACUUUUAGACAGGGGACAGUUCAGCUGAUUGAACCUUUCCUAUGUCAUCCCCUUGUGAAAUCCUGCAGGAAGGCUACUGCCUGUCAGAGCUCUCUCCCAGGUGUCCCUUUUCUGGAUCACAAAGAAGAAGCAGGGAGACUCAUUCCUAGGCACUUCUUGAAGCAUCAGGCCAUAUGCUGAGCAGCUGCUCUAGCCUUUGACAGGCAACUGAGCACCUAGGGAAGCUACAGACCUGCUUGUCACGAGCUGCACAUUCCAGCUCCCUGAUGGGAGACACCUUUCUGUCUUCUAGCUUUUUUUUUUUUUUGUCCAUUAUCUGUCUACUUCAUUUAGGUAGUAAAACCUUAGACUGCUGUAUUUUAGUCAUCCCACCAGUAAACCAGUCACACAGAGGCCUUUUAGGCAUUCAUAUUUUGCCAAUAGUAAAUAUAUGAAUAUGGUUCUUGCAUAAAGAAAGAAAUAUCCAAGUAGUCUCACUUUGUUGUUACUGCAUUAACAGUAACAACAUUUAAUGCCAUGUUUAUUGCAUGCAAGUACCUAGCAUAAUGCUCUGAAGCACAGAACAGUAAUCAUGUCCUUUCUUUUCUCCAGAUAACUUAAUGGAAGACAAGAGGAGGUGUUGGUCACAACCAAGCUGUCCCUAUAGCUUCCAAAUUGUAUCUGGGCUCUGGUGAAGCUGAUCACUGGUCCUGCAUGGAAAAUAUUAUUAAUAUAUGUAAAUAUUAGUAUUUUACAAAAAAAAAUACUAAAGGAACACUAAAACAGUUUGCUAAAAUGAAGAACAUGCAGAAAGAAGUAGCUUUACAUAUAAAACAUCUCUGAAAUAAAUUCUUUGUAUGGAGCUUUGCUCUGAUUCAUUUGAAGCUGUAAAUCUGAGUCAGCAAAGAAGCUUCUGUGUGGUGCCAAGUACAUCAAAACAGCAAGGGAAAACUGGAAAUCCAGCAGGAAAUGUAAAAUAAGCAGUCAGGUUUGGCUGAAUCAGCAGCUACUAAAUCCAGGAGCCACUGGUUGUGGAGAUUGUUCAGGACAAACUCACAUGGAUGUACAUGCAGGGCAUUCUGUUCUUCAUGUCAAAAGUAUGAAGAAGGACAUACGUACUUAUUUGUGCCUCAUCUGUUUCACAGUAAGUGGAAAAAUACUUAACAUGUAUUUUUAAAAUCCUUUUAUUACUUUCUCUCUUAAAAUUUCAUAAACAAUUGAACAUUUUAAACCAUAACAGUUUAAAGUUUUACAGCAUCACAGUUUUUCUCAUAGCUUCUACUUUUGAUAUUCCAGAGCUCAGUUUGGCAUGCUCUUAUCUACUAUUUAUUUUACUAUGACUGCCUUAAAUUGCCUUUG